UGGGCUGGGGCUCAGGGGUAGAGCACGUGCCUGGCAUGCUUGUGGCACUGGGUUCGAUCCUCAGCACCACAU
rnacentral:tRNA from 1 species